rnacentral:rRNA from 1 species
CUGCAUGAAGUCGGAAUUGCUAGUAAUCGCGGAUCAGCAUGCCGCGGUGAAUACGUUCCCGGGCCUUGUACACACCGCCCGUCACACCAUGGGAGCCGGUAAUACCCGAAGUCAGUAGUCCAACCACGUGAGGACGCUGCCGAAGGUAGGAUUGGCGACUGGGGUGAAGUCGUAACAAGGUAAC